GACGAACGCUGGCGGCGUGCUUAACACAUGCAAGUCGAACGGAAAGGCCCUGCUUUUGUGGGGUGCUCGAGUGGCGAACGGGUGAGUAACACGUGAGUAACCUGCCCUUGACUUUGGGAUAACUUCAGGACACUUGGGCUAAUACCGGAUAGGAGCUCCUGCUGCAUGGUGGGGGUUGGAAAGUUUCGGCGGUUGGGGAUGGACUCGCGGCUUAUCAGCUUGUUGGUGGGGUAGUGGCUUACCAAGGCUUUGACGGGUAGCCGGGCUGAGAGGGUGACCGGCCACAUUGGGACUGAGAUACGGCCCAGACUCCUACGGGAGGCAGCAGUGGGGAAUAUUGCACAAUGGGCGGAAGCCUGAUGCAGCAACGCCGCGUGCGGGAUGACGGCCUUCGGGUUGUAAACCGCUUUCGCCUGUGACGAAGCGUGAGUGACGGUAAUGGGUAAAGAAGCACCGGCUAACUACGUG
rnacentral:rRNA from 1 species